rnacentral:rRNA from 1 species
GAGUUUGAUCAUGGCUCAGAACGAACGUUGGCGGCGUGCUUAACACAUGCAAGUCGAACGAGAACGGUUUCUUCGGAGACCUAGUAAAGUGGCGCACGGGUGAGUAACACGUAGAUAACCUGUCCAGGUGUUCGGGAUAGCCCUUCGAAAGGGGGAUUAAUACCGGAUACGUUAGUCUGUUAUAAGGCAGAUUAAGAAAGGUGGCCUCUAUUUAUAAGCUAUCGCAUUUGGAGGGGUCUGCGUACCAUUAGUUUGUUGGUGGGGUAAAGGCCUACCAAGACUUCGAUGGUUAGCGGGUCUGAGAGGAUGAUCCGUCACACUGGCACUGAAACACGGGCCAGACUCCUACGGGAGGCAGCAGUGAGGAAUAUUGCGCAAUGGGGGAAACCCUGACGCAGCGACGCCGCGUGGGUGAGGAAGGCUUUCGGGUCGUAAAGCCCUGUCAGAAGGGAAGAAAUAGUGUAUAGGUUAAUAUCUUAUACAUUUGACGGUACCGUUCAAAGGAAGCACCGGCUAACUCCGUGCC